CCCUUAGAUGUUCUGGGCCGCACGCGCGCUACACUGAUGCAUUCAACGAGUCUAAAACCUGGUCUGAUAGGGCUGGGUAAUCUUUUGAAUGUGCAUCGUGAUUGGGAUAGAUGAUUGCAAUUCUUCAUCUUCAACGAGGAAUGCCUAGUAAACGCAAGUCAUCAACUUGCAUUGAUUACGUCCCUGCCCUUUGUACACACCGCCCGUCGCACCUACCGAUUGAAUGGUCCGGUGAAGCCUCCGGAUUGGCGCGCACCUCGGUGCCGCCGAGAAGUUGGCUAAACCUUACCAUUUAGAGGAAGGUGAAGUCGUAACA
rnacentral:rRNA from 1 species